rnacentral:lncRNA from 1 species
GACUACCUUCUGGGGGUGCUCGGGGAGGCUCUCCGAAUGAGGUUGCAGAUUCAGUUGUAUUAGCCCUCUGCAGACUUGGGCCUUGGGCCCCAGCUCAGAUCCCAGCACAGCCGGCCUUCAGAAGUGUUUGGAACAUCACUGACUGAUUUUGAAGAGGAAAAAAAACAAAAACAAACAAACAAACAAACAAAAAAAAAAAAACAAAGAAGGCCUUCUAUUCCUUUCCUUCUUCCUGAUUCAGACUUCGGAAUGUUGACCCUCGCAGGGAAGGAUAAUUUAGACUCUGGUAUGGCCAAAGAUUUGAGUGCAAAGGCAAACAUAGUUACUGUAUUUUUUAUAUAACUUCAUUUUUAAAUAUAUUAAAAAAAAAAGCAAACCUAAAUGUUCAAGAGAUCAGCGUAUGGCACUAAAUGCACAAAACUAAUGUGAGCCUUCUUCCUGUUAGCAGUCUAUAACACUUUGGGUAUUUUGCUAUAGUUGCUAAUUAAAAAAAAUAUAGAUGUUUAUUUAUUUUAAUGCAGUAAUAUAUGGAGAAAUGAACAAACUAUGUAAACAAAAAGGGAAACUCGCUUGUUUUUCUUAGAUUUAUAAAUUUGAGCUAUUUCUUUUAGAGGUGCUUUAAAAAAAAAAUCCAAUACAUUCAAGAGAUGUUUUCCUUUAGUUUUUCCGCCAGCCCUCCAACUGGUGCGCACCUGACUAUUUCAAAGAAAGUCUUGCGGAGCUGAAUGGGCGGUGUAAUCAGUAAUUUAAAAAGAUGUGGAAGUCGUUUGAUCCUGUCCAAAGGAAAUGAAAGCCAGAGCAGCUCCUAUGACAAUAUUUCACAUCAGCAGAUUCGCCAGGCAACAGGAGAGGAAACCACUGUAGCAAAAUACCUUGACUGCUUGUGAGACCGUUAGCAUUGCAGGCCAAACUGUACUGUAUUUCUUCCUCGUAACCUCAAGGACCCACACGUGCCUCCCACAACACCUCAUUCUUACCAGGGCGUGCUGUGCACUUGUGGUCCCCUAGGCAGCUGAAGAACCCGCCGUUCCUUUGAGCAGGAACACCUGGCGUUCUGUCGAGUUUGGUGCUGUCGUAGAUUAAAUGGUGCAUUUAUUAUGUUCAAGCUAUUUCAGGAUUGCCAUGUGUGCAAACAAUCAUGCCAUGCAGCCAAGGAAUAUAUGUCGAUGUUUUUUUUUUUAAACCCAUGGUUUUUAUUUUUAUUUUAUUUUUUAGAAUUUUCAUUAAUACUGUAGUUAUACACCAUAUGCCUCAUUUUAUCAUAGCUUAUUGUGUAUGAAAUAUGUUUGUAAAAUGAAUUGAUGUUUAGUUUGCUUUAGCCAUUUGAAAAGAUGCCACACCAGGAGGUAACCAAUAAGAGCACAGCUCCACAUUCUUCUCCCUGGAGAACCCGUUCCUGGAAGAGUGAUGGAAACCGGAGAUACAAAAUGGCCAAAGCACACACCGUCAUUCCUCUCGCACCUGUGUUGACCAAAGAGUAGUAACCAGUUAUAGCCAAUGUUUUGGGGUUUUUUGUUUUGUUUUGUUUCGUUUCGUUUUGUUUGUUUGUUUUUAAUAACCAAAAAGAAAAAGAGAAACAGUGUAAAUUUGUAAUCAAGUGUUUGUGAGGAAAAACGUAUGGGUUUUGGUUAUGUUUGUUUUUGUAGGUCUAUGUAUCAAAUAUGACACUUUUCUUGCAAUAAAGCUUAUUUUGGGGU